AUCAACAGCCAUAUUGACCUGCAGCCCAGGACCAGUUACUUACUGAAGCUAAGCAAAGCUAAGCAGAGCUGAGCCUGGUCAGUACCUGGAUGGGAGACCACAUGGGAAAACUAGGUUGCUAAAGUAG
rfam:Danio rerio chromosome 25, GRCz11 reference primary assembly.